rnacentral:rRNA from 1 species
GACAGAGGCCUCAAGCGUUAGGCGGAAUCACUGGGCUUAAAGCGUGUGUAGGCGGAUCGUUAAGUGUCUUGUGAAAUCCCACGGCUCACCCGUGGAACUGCUGGGCAUACUGGCGAUCUUGGGCCAACUAGGGGCAACUGGAACAAGCGGUGGAGCGGUGAAAUGCGUAGAUAUCGUCUGGAACGCCAAAGGUGAAAACAGACUGCUGGGGCUGUGCUGACGCUGAGACACGAAAGCCAGGGGAGCGAACGGG